rnacentral:rRNA from 1 species
GCCGCCUUAGCGCGGUGGUCCCACCUGACCCCAUGCCGAACUCAGAAGUGAAACGCCGUAGCGCCGAUGGUAGUGUGGGGUCUCCCCAUGCGAGAGUAGGGAACUGCCAGGC